ACAGAGGAAGGGAUAGAAUGCCUCAUUGGCAUUUGGGAGGACGAGCAUAAAUUGGAAAUGCUCGAUAACACGCACAAAAACUCCGAAGUAUUUAAGAUUUUCAGUGAGCACAUGAAGGAACAUGGCUUCCACCUGUUUACAUGGAUGUGGUGUUGGAGGCAUGGAGCAGUGUGGAACCGAAACAAGUGCUGUGAUGAAGACGCCGGGUGUAGCAACAGGAAGCGUGGAAUGUGACGCCACACACAGGGCUUUGUGGGAGAACAAGCGGCCAGGCUGGAGAAUCACCUGUUAUCCUUGAGGCGCCUCUGUGUGGAGGCUAGAAGGGCCACACAGGCCAGUGGGCCCCCGGGAGAAGAAGAGGGGGCAGCAUCCUGCCUCACGGUGAACUGGACAGAUUACAGCCUCAUGGCAGUGGAUGUGAAAGCAGAGGAGGUGAUUACAUGGCCAGUGUGGUGUGGCCGAGCGCGACCCCAUGAUAAAGUAAAUCCUCCAUGCAUGCACGGCGGCUGCUGCUGCCUUCAAAGGCGUGCUGAAUAUUCGGAUUGACUGCUCCAGCUCCACUGUUCCUGAAUGCGGUUUUGCCUCAGCGCCCGCUCUAAUGGCAGCACAAAGACAACAGCAGAGAGUGAAGAUGGAUUCAUAGUGCUGGAUAAACCACCGAAACCACUGCUCCACCAUUAAGUGCCUACACUGCAACCAGACCUCUCACACCUUGGCAACGAUCAGCACGGUGACGGCAGACGGAAGUGCAGUGUCAGCCGAUCAGGAUGUCCUUCAGCAGCGUAUUGUCACACGGGAAAGGAAGGUCAAAGCUGCUGACAGAGGAGGAAAAAAAACAGAUCACUUCAUUUACCAUUCCUACCUGAGGAGGAGAUCAAACUUCCGUCUGCAUGAUUGAGGAGUCAUGACUGGGUUCGAUCAAAGCCACAUCGCUGUAUCAACCAGAUUAGUGAGAAUCAAUAAUUUCUGGUGCUUUGAUGGUUUACCUGGCAAUGACA